AGAUUAGAGAAUGGUUGUGAAACAACUUGAGAUGAAAUAAAAACUAAAUACCAAUAAAUUAUGAAUGAUGCUCUUAUAAAUGCUAAAGAUAAUACAGUGGGAAUUCAAGCUGAUUUCCUGCAAAAGUUCUCCAGAUAGAGAUUGAGGACAUCUUUGGGAUUCCAGACAGAGUAAACAUUGCUUAAGCUUCUGCUCACUAGAGUCACCUGCAGUGCAUCCUUUUUCUUUGCUCAUGAUAAAACACUGUCACUGUGAACAACAAUAAGAUUACUUUCGGCAACAGCAGAAAACUUAUAGUGAUGGAGGAGAAUGAUGAAAUCAUACCACCAGCUGUGGCCAUCUUUUCCCCAUCAAAGCAAGAGAUCCAACAGAAGAGCAAGGCCACACUGGUAUGCCUGGCCUCUGGUUUCUAUCCUGACUACCUCAAACUAGAGUGGAAGGUGAACGGUGCUCAGAGGACAGAAGGGGUGGGGACAGACGAGUCUUCCACAUGGAAUGGGAGUACCUACUCAUUGACCAGCCGACUGAGGAUCUCAGCCCAGGAAUGGUUCAACCCUUUGAAUCGUUUUGAAUGUGUUGCCACAUUCUUUAAGAAUGAGACACUGGAAGUGAUACAAAAAUUCAUCUCUGGCGAUGCUGGUUGUGCACUCACUGCAGAGAAGAAUGAUGAAAUCAUACCACCAGCUGUGGCCAUCUUUUCCCCAUCAAAGCAAGAGAUCCAACAGAAGAGCAAGGCCACACUGGUAUGCCUGGCCUCUGGUUUCUAUCCUGACUACCUCAAACUAGAGUGGAAGGUGAACGGUGCUCAGAGGACAGAAGGGGUGGGGACAGACGAGUCUUCCACAUGGAAUGGGAGUACCUACUCAUUGACCAGCCGACUGAGGAUCUCAGCCCAGGAAUGGUUCAACCCUUUGAAUCGUUUUGAAUGUGUUGCCACAUUCUUUAAGAAUGAGACACUGGAAGUGAUACAAAAAUUCAUCUCUGGCGAUGCUGGUUGUUUUAUCUUCAAAGAAAACUAUCAGAGAAGUGCUAUUGCUGGGAAGAUUGUGUACAUCAUGCUCAUUUUCAAGAGCAUUUUGUACGGGAUGUUUGUGAUUGGGCUGAUGCUGAGGUCCAAGAAAAUGUACUAGAUGUGCUUUGCUGUGAAAGAUCAGGCCUGAAGAAGAGGACAGAGAUAUGCUGCAAGUGGAAAGCUUCUGGUCUUUGUACCCAAGUACUGACUUGCUUCAGAAACCAGUCUUUUAUUCUGACAAAUGUGGGAAACCACAUUUGCUUGUUUUAAAAACCAGCUUUUAA